rnacentral:sRNA from 1 species
GCUGGGUACGGUGGCACACACCUGUAAUCCCAGCAGCUCGGGGAGGCUGAGACAGGAGGAUUGAGAGUUCAAAGCUAGCCUCAGCAACGGCAAGGCACUAAGUAACUCAGUGAGACCCUGUCUCUA